rnacentral:rRNA from 1 species
GACGAACGCUGGCGGCGUGCUUAACACAUGCAAGUCGAACGAUGAAGCUGGAGCUUGCUCUGGUGGAUUAGUGGCGAACGGGUGAGUAACACGUGAGUAACCUGCCCUUGACUCUGGGAUAAGCGUUGGAAACGACGUCUAAUACCGGAUACGAGCUACGACCGCAUGGUCACUAGCUGGAAUGAACUUCGGUCAAGGAUGGACUCGCGGCCUAUCAGCUAGUUGGUGAGGUAACGGCUCACCAAGGCGACGACGGGUACACGGCCUGACAGGGUGGCGGGCCACACGGUGACUGAGACACGGCCCAGACUCCUACGGGAGGCAGCAGUGGGGAGUAUUGCACAAUGGGCGCAAGCCUGAUGCAGCAGCGCCGCGUGAGGGACGACGGCCUUCGGGUUGUAAACCUCUUUUAGCAGGGAAGAAUCGCAAGUGACGGUACCUGCAGAAAAAGCACCGGCUAACUACGUGCCAGCCGCCGCCGUAAAAC